UAACACGUAUCCAACCUGCCGCUUACUCGGGGAUAGCCUUUCGAAAGAAAGAUUAAUACCCGAUGGUAUAAAGAGUUCGCAUGUUCUCUUUAUUAAAGAAUUUCGGUAAGCGAUGGGGAUGCGUUCCAUUAGAUAGUUGGCGGGGUAACGGCCCACCAAGUCUACGAUGGAUAGGGGUUCUGAGAGGAAGGUCCCCCACAUUGGAACUGAGACACGGUCCAAACUCCUACGGGAGGCAGCAGUGAGGAAUAUUGGUCAAUGGACGAGAGUCUGAACCAGCCAAGUAGCCGUGAAGGAUGACUGCCCUAUGGGUUGUAAACUUCUUUUAUAAGGGAAUAAAGUGAGGGACGUGUCCCUUUUUGUAUGUACCUUAUGAAUAAGGAUCGGCUAACUCCGUGCCAGCAGCGGC
rnacentral:rRNA from 1 species